GACAGGGAAACAUGCCUUGGACCACGUGUCGUGGGGAUAUGGUGAAGCGGCGGUACCUGUGGUGGGCUUUGGGCUGGCAGUUUAGGCAACUGCUACCACUGCCCUUCCUGGGCCGAAAAGUGCACCGCAGGACCUGGCUGGGCCCAAGCGGGGAAUCGGUACUGAAGAUCAACCAAGCCAGGCCAUGGGGACCCAGGGAGCGCCCACAGGCUCAAUUGUAAGAACAGUCUGACCAUUAAGUUAUUGAUGGCACAACGGCAAGUUGCCACCAGGUUCCCUACGCGAAGGUGACAAAAGGUACAAGGAACCCCGCCCAAAGGGUCAAAGGAAAUGGAUCUGGUCCUCUGGUUAUGGAAGAAGGAAGGGGAGCUGAGUGGAAGUGAUUAGUUUGAGGCUAAAAAGAACAUUUAUACUUUCAUGGUUGCAAUAAAGUGGUGCAAUUUGAA